CCUACGGGAGGCAGCAGUAGGGAAUAUUGCUCAAUGGGGGAAACCCUGAAGCAGCAACGCCGCGUGGAGGAUGAAGGUUUUCGGAUUGUAAACUCCUUUUGUUAGAGAAGAUAAUGACGGUAUCUAACGAAUAAGCACCGGCUAAAUCCGUGCCAGCAGCCGCGGUAAUACGGAGGGUGCAAGCGUUACUCGGAAUCACUGGGCGUAAAGAGCGCGUAGGCGGGAUAGCAAGUCAGAUGUGAAAUCCUAUGGGUUAACCAUAGAACUGCAUUUGAAACUGUUAUUCUUGAGUAUGGGAGAGGUAGGUGGAAUUCUUGGGGUAGGGGGUAAAUCCGUAGAGAUCAAGAGGAAUACUCAUUGCGAAGGCGGCCUGCUAGAACAUAACUGACGCUGAUGCGCGAAAGCGUGGGGAGCAAACAGGAUUAGAUACCCGAGUAGUC
rnacentral:rRNA from 1 species